CUUCGAAAGCAUUCCUCAAUAGCAAAAUGAUGAUGGUGUUUGAACUUACUGCCAACAGGUAGUUCCAGGUUGUUCCAUUCUCCCGGUCUCCUUGGGCUAUAUACAUGGUUUGUGGUGUAAGCUUCUGUCAUGGGAGAAAAGUUCUCGCAGGCCUGCAAUGUGUAAAGGCUAGAUGACUAGGCCAUGUAUGUGUUCAUUUCUUCUUGUCAUUUGGUCAGACUUCUGCACAUGUCUAUUUGAUAACAGAUUUUUGCCUAGGUGGGGAGCUAUUUGCUUUGCUUGACAAACAGCCUAUGACGAUUUUCAAAGAGGAAGCUGCAAGCCAUGGUCACAAAAAUACCGUGCUCUAUGUCAAGUGGAAUUAAAAUGGUGACUGGGU